rnacentral:rRNA from 1 species
GAUAAACGCUGGCGGCGUGCCUAAAACAUGCAAGUCGAACGGGCAUCUGCUUUCGGGUGGGUGUCAGUGGCGAACGGCUGAGGAACGCGUGGGUGACCUGCCGUGUGGUGGGGGAUAGCCUCUCGAAAGAGGGGGUAAGACCGCAUGAGCUCGUGAGAGCAAAACCCUUAGGGGUGCCAGACGAGGGGCCCGCGUCCGAUUAGCUGGUUGGUGGGGUAAGAGCCCACCAAGGCGACGANCGGUAGCUGGUCUGAGAGGAUGAUCAGCCAGACUGGGACUGGGAACGGCCCAGACUCCUACGGGAGGCAGCAGUUAGGAAUUUUGGGCAAUGGGGAAACCCUGACCCAGCAACGCCGCGUGGGGGACGACGCC